CUUUUUAAAUUUUUUUUUCCUUUAAAAGUUUUAAUCCACCUUGUAACACCACCCAAAAAGAAGCGAAAUUAAGCUGCAGUGUGUACUAGGAGAGAAAACCUACUUUAUUUAUCACCCAGCCCUACUUCACCAUGCACUGACCUAAUUACAGCCCACACCAGGCUGGGUAGGAGGAGCAGCAGAAGGAGCGCUUCUGCCACCUAGUGAUCCCUGUCAAUCCCUUUGUGGAAUUGGCGUUUUCCUGUCCCCAGCGCUCGACAGCAAGCGACCUUCCCCAGCCAGCCUGCCUGGAUGCCGGGUUUAUCUGCACACCGCUCUCUUCUCCUCUUUUACGGCUCCAAAACAUCGCUCACGGAUGAAUUCUGACCUACGGCUGGCAACGCUCAGGAAGGCAGGACUGCACAUGAAAUCAAGCAGUAAGACUUACAUCCUGCUAAGACAACCUCCUGCACCUUCUGGAUGCAGACUGAUGUAGGAUAUUAACUACAUCCUGAAACCCAUGGAAUUUGUCAGACUGAGUGGUGGAUUAUAACUGAAGUAAAGAAUGUGUCCAAGAAGUAUUUCUGUCUCAUGUUUUUAGUGGCAUUCAGUUUCUGGUUGUAACAUGAACAUUCUCAAAAAGCUUCCUUGCAUCUGCAGUCCAUCUUUGUAAUAUGUGGGGUACAUUUUGGUGGGGUGAAACAGCAUGAUAAGUGAAGGCUUG
rnacentral:lncRNA from 1 species